rnacentral:rRNA from 1 species
GCAAUUCGGCAUGGUCUGAUUUUGUUGAUUGUCUUGUAUUAUUUAUUUGUUUUAAUAUUUAUUUUAUUGAAGAAUCAUUGUGGGUUAUUGUAAUUUUUUGGUUUAAUUUUUUAUACUAUAGUUUAUUUGUACUGUGAGGGGUUGAUUAUAUUUUAUAUAAUGUUUUUUUGGAAGUUGAUUUUAUUUUUCGUACCUUGUGUAUCAGGGUUCAUUGAAUUUUAUUAUUUAUUUUUAUUUCCCGAUUUUAAAGGAGUUAAUAAUUUAUGUUAGUUACUGUUUCAUUAGUAUUAAUAAUAAUUUAUUGGUAGUGAAAUGUUAUUCGUCUUUAAUGGUUUCUGGUUUUUCAAGAAAUGAAUUUAAUUCAUACAUCUUAUUUAAUUUUUAUUAUUUAUUUAUUUAUUUUUAUUUGAUGUUAAGAUUAAGGGGGAUUAGCUCUUUAUUUUAUAUUUAUAAUUUUUGGUCUUAAUAUGGUUUUGUGGAUUUUAUAGUGAUUUUCAAUUUGAUUAUGUUAAAAUUUUAUUUAUUCUUUUGUUUAUUUUUUGUAAUUUAAGUUUUUAUUGAAAUGUUUUCUUUAUCUUUGUUUGUAUAAUAAUUAUUGUGUAAUUAGUAAAUCUUGUUUUUUGUGGUGUUAUAUUAGGUGUUAAUUUCUUUUAAGGAAUUCGGCAAAGUUUAUGUGUCCGCCUGUUUAACAAAAACAUCUUUUCUUGUUAGUUUUUGAAGUAUGGCCUGCCCACUGACGUUUAAAAGUUGAAGGGCCGCGGUAUUUUGACCGUGCAAAGGUAGCAUAAUCAUUAGUUCUUUAAUUGUGAUCUGGUAUGAAUGGCUUGACGAGACACGAGCUGUCUUAGAAGAAUUGGGUUAUAAAAAUUGAAUUUAGGUUUUGGGUUAAAAUACUCAGAUGUUUUUAUGGGACGAGAAGACCCUAUAGAGUUUUACAUUUAAUUUGUUUUUGUUUAAUUGUUUGUUUACUGUUUUGAGUAGAAUUUAAUGUUUUGUUGGGGUGAUGGGAGGAAUAUUAUUUAACUCCUCUUGUAUUUUUAUAUAUUUAUAUAUAUUUAUUUGAUCCAUUUAUUUUGAUUAUAAGAUUAAAUUACCUUAGGGAUAACAGCGUUAUCUUCCUUGAGAGUUCUUAUUGGCGGGGAGGUUUGCGACCUCGAUGUUGGAUUAAGGUGAAUUUUCGGUGCAGGAGCUGAAAGUGAUUAGGUCUGUUCGACCUUUAAAAUCUUACAUGAUCUGAGUUCAGACCGGCGUGAGCCAGGUUGGUUUCUAUCUAUAAAAUAGUUUAUAUCUUAGUACGAGAGGACCGGAUAUUUGGAAUAAUUUUAAAUUGUAAUAUGAUUUUCAUUAAUAUUAUAAUACUAUUUUGGCAGAUAAGUGCAU